ensembl:rRNA 5S_rRNA 5S ribosomal RNA
GUCUACGGCCAUACCACCCUGAACGCGCACCAUCUCGUCUGAUCUCGGAAGCUAAGCAGGGUCGGGCCUGGUUAGUACUUGGAUGGGAGGAAAGGAAGCGUGGUAGUUU